CUUAUUUGGUACAGGUUGGUUUUUCUGGAAGCAGAUGCUGAGAUGCAGUUUGGAGUACAAGAUGUUUAUUAAAGAUCAACACCUGAGGAAGAAAGAUAAGGAAAAGAAGAACUGGGCAGAAAAAGAAGUCCAUCUGUGAGGAAACCUUGGCAAGACCUUGGCUAACCCUCUGUGGCGCUCCGGAGCACAUAUGGCCUACCAGAGCAAUCCCAGGACUGUGUCCUCAUAAGAAGAGGAAGAGAUAGAUAGCUGUCUCUUCAUGUACAUGCACCAAGGAAAAGAUAUGCGAACAUAUAGUGAGAAGCGGCCAUCUGCAAGCCAGGAAGACAGCCCUCGCGAGAACUCCACCAUGCUGGUGUCCCAAUCUCAGACUUCCAUUCUCCAGAAUGGUGAAAAAAUACAUAAAAGUCUGCUGUUUAAGCCACCCAGUCUAUGGUAUUUGUUGUGGCAGCUCAAGCUGACUCAUACACAUCAGAACUGUCCCUGGGAAACUGGGGUGAUUAAUUUGAUUAAAAGCCUUGUGGAAUUCUUCGGAAUUUUAAAACUUUA